CCGCGGCGUUCCGAGCCUCACGCGCACGCGCCAGCGCGCUCACGCAGCCCCUCCACGCGGCUCCCGGCGGCGCGCGCGCCCAAGCUCCGAAGCCUCCCACCGUGCGCUUCCGGGGACUGAGAGAGCGGAAAGGCGGAGGAAAUUGCGAGACGAACGCAGCGAGUACUGCCUCAAGGAGGCGGCGGCCAAACGCCGGCCUUUGCGCCGCGGCCCCCUCCUGGCGUCACAGAGCACCGACCUAGGGCAGGGUCCCGCAAAGAGUACUUCCUCAGUCAUCUACAUUGAAUGAAUCAAUGAAGAAAUGUUUAUCCUCAAUUGUAGACAGGAACAGAUUAUGAAGGAUUAUCAAUUCCAGGAACAAGAAAUGUGGACCUUAACAUAUUUGCAGUGAGAACUCACUAGAUGCCAUUGAUCUUGGUUGGGCCAUGUGAUUUUCUUUGACCAAGGGGACAUUAGCAAAUAUGACACCAGCAAAAGCUUAAAAAGAACUUGCACAUUGCUUUCCGGAGAUUGCUAUGUGAAGAACCCGAAGCUAACCUCUUGGAGGAAAAGAACACAGGGAGCAGAAACAAGCCAUCUCAACUGAGACCCCAUAGACCAGAGAGCCCCCAGCCAGUUGACUGCAACUUCAUGAGUGAUCACAGGCAAGAACAGCAGAAGACCCCAACCCAAGUUGCUGACCCAUAAAAUCACAAGCAAAUAAAAAGAUUGUUUUA